rnacentral:rRNA from 1 species
UACAGAGGGUGCGAGCGUUGUCCGGAAUCACUGGGCGUAAAGGGCGCGUAGGUGGCGCUGCAAGUCGGUGGUGAAAGCUCGUCGCUUAACGACGAGUCGGCCAUCGAAACUGCAGGGCUCGAGCACUGUAGGGGCUAAUGGAAUUCCGGGUGUAGUGGUGGAAUGCGUAGAGAUCCGGAGGAACACCAGCGGCGAAGGCGGCAUCCUGGACUGGUCCUGACACUCAGGAGCGAAAGCGUGGGGAGCGAUCCGG